ACUGUCAACAAAACAGAGCGAGUUUCGAACUCUUCCCGCCAAGCAGCCAUGGGAAGAAUCGAGAGACUUCAAUCUUCCUACCAAUCCCUGGAUGAAUCGUUCGAAAUUGGGAAAGAGAUGUAUCGUGGACAACAAUACAGUCAAAUUUACUUCGCUCGUCUUCAUUUGAUGCGUACUCUUUUGUAUUCUCUUGUUCCUCUUUGGAAACCUAAUUCUCCUGUUUGCACGGUGUUGGGAUUGGAAGAGGGAAAAGAGUGUGUCAUUGUUGGAACAUUGUUUAAACACAUGAAAUUGAAACCUUGCAUACUUGAUGAGUAUUCUAAAGAGAGAUCGGUGGUUCCACUUGUCAAGCCGCAUAACUUUGUGAACCAAGAUGAUUAUCUCGAUUUGGAAGAUGAAAGUGGAAGAGUUAAGCUUGGUGGGAAUAUUAUUGUACCAUCUGUUUAUGUAACAGGAAUUGUGGUUGCUAUAUAUGGUAAGGAAACGGGAGCAGGUGAUUUUUUGGUUCAUGAAGUUCUAGAAGCUGGCUUACCACCGCAGAUAGAAUUCCCUAUUAAAUCAAGGGAAGACAGAUAUGUUGUUCUUGUGUCAGGAAUAAGUGUUGGGAGCAGCAGGUCUAACCCUCUGCAGUUUCAGCUUCUCGUUGAUCAUAUUACUGGUCAUUUAGGAGAUGAGAAGGAGCAAAGUAUUGCAUCACAAAUUGUUCGUGUAGUCAUUGCUGGAAAUUCUGUUGAGAUGCCUCGUGGACUUCUUAAUGGACAGAAUUUGGCUUCAAAAGAUCUCUCGAGGAUGGCAGAACCAGUAAAGGAGCUAGAUAUUCUGUUGAAUCAGAUUGCUGCUGCUUUGCCAUUGGAUAUCAUGCCAGGACCCUGUGACCCUGCUAAUUUUGCAUUACCACAGCAGGCGUUGCAUAGAUGCCUUUUCCCUGGGUCAUCAGUGUACAACACUUUUAGAUCUUGUACAAAUCCUCAUUGUUUUGAGCUUGAUGGUAUCAGGUUUCUUGGGACAUCUGGUCAGAAUGUAGAUGAUCUUGACAAAUAUUCAGAGGCAAAAGAUAAGCUUGACUUCAUGGAAAGGACAUUACGAUGGAGGCAUUUGGCACCAACUGCACCUAAUACCCUUGGGUGCUAUCCUUACACUGAUAGGGAUCCUUUCUUCAUUGAGAGUUGUCCCCAUGUGUACUUUGUUGGCAAUCAGGAUAAAUAUGAUACUCGUGUGAUAAAGGGAUCAGAAGGGCAAUCGGUGAGACUUGUAUGUGUUCCUAAAUUCAGCGAAACUGGAGUUGCAGUUAUGGUGAGCUCUAACAAUUUUAACUUUUUUUUCUUCUUAAACACGGUCUUUUAUACUUGUAUAAUUAUAUUACCCCGUAAGCACAUCAACAUUAUCUCAUUCGUGCUUUUUCACCUUUGACAUUUCCUUCUAGUCAAUUCAGAACUAUGUAGCCUGCUGAAAGUAAUCAAUUUUGCUGCUUUUCUCCAUUCUCGUAUCUAACGAAGUCAUUUUAAAGUUCAAUUAAAAAUGCAUGUCUAAUAAGUUAUGUAUUCUUUUUGUGUUUUAGACUUACUUAAAAGGGUUUCUCUCUGGAGAAUCAUGAAAAAAAAUUCAAAAACUAAAUAUCAUCUCAAAACUUAUGCCGGUAGAGUUAAGAUCGGUGAACUGGGCAUUGUCAAUUAUUUAUAUGGUUUUUAGACCGUCCUUUCUUUCAAUAUAUAACUGGAAGGGGAGAUAUUUUGAUGAGAUUCCCCCAGCUAUAAUGACCAAUAUGGUUUCCACUUUCCAGUUGGAUUGAAGUUCUUUAUUACACUUAUUAAUGAAUAAAAAAUUAAGACUCUGGUGUAACAUUUUGAACUUGUCAAUAGUAUGCAAUGAGAUAAUUCUGGGAUCAUCCCCUUGUUUGAUGAAAAUGUAGAAAAGAACAAUAUUAGUGCAGGAUCACAAUUCACAACGGAGGAAGGGUUGUUUUCUUUGCUUAAUGGUUGGCUGUGACAUAGUAGGUGGUUUCAUCUGAUGUGAUUCUUGUUGCAAAUUUAAAUAUACAUUGAAUAUUUCUCUUUUUGCAGUUGAAUCUGAGGGAUCUCGAAUGCCAUGCUCUCAGUUUUGGAACUCAGUUCAGCCCAUAACAAUUAGAAUGAAGUUUUGUGGUUACAGGAAGUUUGUUUAUUGGGCUGCCAUCCAUGUUUCUUUGGAGUUAAAGCGAAGAACUGGAAAUUGGAUCUUGAAGUUGACAAGGGCUGUCAUGUUUCUUUACUGUAAUUUAUUUUUGUAUUAACCCUAUAUUCCGACCUUCAUAGAAAAAGACCUAUUAUUUUGACUUGAUUUGUAUUUUGAGUUGCAUUUGUAUUUUUCUAUUUAGUUUUCUUUGUAUGAUUGUUGUAACUUGUAACAUAGUAUUUAAACAUGUGCAUUAGUACGUUUUACCUUGGAUAGUGGGAACAUUUCAAUUUAAUUUAAGAUUAUUUGUUAUUUAAUUUUUACAUUAUA